GACAUCAGAGGCUCCAGCUGAAAGGUUCCAAAUCUAGGAGCUGGAGUCCAUCACUCACAGAUCUUACAGUUGAUGCUAGCUUUUGGCUGAAGCCUCAAUUCCUCUUCAGUGGGCCUCUCCCUAUGGGCUAAAAUUUGGGCUUCCUCACAGCAUGGUGGCAAGAUUCUAAGGGCAGGAAUCCAGAGAGAGAAAGGGCCAAGCAGAAGCCAUAUUGUCUUCGAUGACCUGGCCUCAAAAAUCAUGCAAUACCUUUCAUUCAUUGAGGCCGUCACAAAGCUCCACCUAUUCUCAACGGGAGAGAAAUAAAUACUGACUCUCAAUGGGGAGUGGCAAGGUUCUGGGAGGGCAUAUGGCACCCAGAAUAUGGCUGUAGGCAUUUGUAAACGGGGUUGUUGACACUGAGCUUUCAGGAAGAGAAGAUUAGGACACAGAGAUACCAGAGAGGUCAUUCACAGAGGAAAGACCACGUGAAGACGCAGUGGCCAUAUGCAAGCUGAGGAGAGAGGUCUCAGAAGAAACCAAUACUGCCAACGCCUUGGUCUCGGACUUCCAGCCUCCAGAACUUUUGCCUCCCAUAUUUUUAUGAUGCCUUUUGCAAGCAUUCUUAAUGGUAAACAUAAAGAAAAUUUUGAUGUCUACUCACUUUCCAUUUUUUGGAAUUUUCCCCUUUUGGUCUCCUUGCUACCCCUAAUGGACUCUACCUUCCUUCCCCUGAUUCUCAUGAGAAUCUGAUGAUCACUAAAGUGGGCAAGGUCCUGGAUCAGAAGAUGCCUGACAAGAGGCCACUAUCAGCAGCAACAGCACGGUGGGGACAAACCUGAGACCUUGAUGGACCAUGGACACCAGCAGGAGAGACAGAGCAACUCAAUUGGACAUAAUUAGAGACAUCAUCAUAAAUAACGUGGAGCAGAUGGAAGAUGCCGGGCUUUUCAUUUCAAGGACUGAGUAGGAAGGUUAAUGAUGGAGGAAUAGGCAUAAAGAAUGGGGUGUUUAUAUCGCAAAUCCAUCCUGCACUUGAACCUUUCCUGUCUGAAACCCACACAAACAGCUGAAUUAGACAGAAGGAACUUGAAGUCUAAAUGGGCAGACAAGACCAACAGACACAAAGCACAGAGUGGCACAAGAGCCAUGUCUGAUGCAACAGUGACUCAGGAGGAUCACUCUGACUCAGAAUGGCCAAGCAAAGAAUUGAAAUUGAGUAAUAUUUAACAGAAAGUGUCUGGUUACAACAAUGCCCUGGCUGUGAAGAGAACAAAUUCAGAACUUUCUCCUAAGGAGAGGGAGCAAACUGUUACUCUCUUGUCAAAUCCAGUUUUCUUUUCAUCUCUGAUAAUAUUUCAGAUUGAACCAAUGCCUUUAAUAUGACUUAGUGCUUUAGGAAAAUAGUAUCACCUCAGGAUAUUUAGGUAACUAAACCAGCAGAUCCAAUAAGUGUUAUCUUUCAGAGUCAACCUUCUGAAGGAGGCUAGAUGCACAUGUGAAUGACUUUGCCAUAGCACAGAAUGCCUCUGGAUCAUACUUCUGGAAAUUCCUCUGGAGCCACUGUGUAAAUGAAGCUAUCAGGAAAUCUCUUUGCUUUGUAAUCAUGCUUUACUUUUGACUAAAAAGUAAAAAACACCAAGAGUUCAGAGUUC
rnacentral:lncRNA from 1 species